UCUAAGCCCUGCAACUUCUUUAAGUGUCUCUUCUUCUUCUCCCAACUCGCCGGCUAUGUUGAUGCUCGGAUUCGAUUCCUUCAAUCCCCAUUUCUCAACCUUUCAACUGUUACAAAACGGAUACGCAAUUUCAUGAGAGCAAAUCACAAGAUUAUGAUCAAAGAAAAGAUUAGAUCAAGCAAAAAGAAGUUUUCAAAGAAUUCUGCAAAGAUUUAUUCGGGUCAUACUUGCUUUUCUACGAAGUACACAAUACCUAUUUGAAUACUUGUAUUUUCGACUUUUUAAGAUGAGAUGAAGAGAGUGCUUAUUUUGUUUAGUUAGGAAGUUAUUUCUGUUCAAAUUUGUUAUAAGCUAGAUUUGUUGUUCAGCUUGCAAUUAAGCUUUGAGUGAGAUUGUAUCUUAGUGAAUGAGUUAUACUUAAAUAAUGUUUUACUUUUUUAGUAAGACUUCGUUUACAUAAAGAGUUUCCAAAUUGUGUACAUAAA